UACGGAGGGAGCUAGCGUUGUUCGGAAUUACUGGGCGUAAAGCGCACGUAGGCGGCUUUGUAAGUUAGAGGUGAAAGCCCGGGGCUCAACUCCGGAACUGCCUUUAAGACUGCAUCGCUUGAAUCCAGGAGAGGUGAGUGGAAUUCCGAGUGUAGAGGUGAAAUUCGUAGAUAUUCGGAAGAACACCAGUGGCGAAGGCGGCUCACUGGACUGGUAUUGACGCUGAAGAGCGAAAGCGUGGGGAGCGAACAGG
rnacentral:rRNA from 1 species